rnacentral:tRNA from 1 species
CAAGAAGUAGUUUAAGUAGAAUAUCAGCUUUGGGUGUUGAUGGUGGGGGGGUAGUCCUUCCUUCUUGA